rnacentral:rRNA from 1 species
AAGCGGAGGAAAAGAAACUAACAAGGAUUCCCCUAGNUAGCGGCGAGCGAAGCGGGAAAAGCUCAAAUUUGUAAUCUGGCGUCUUCGACGUCCGAGUUGUAAUCUCGAGAAGUGUUUUCCGUGAUAGACCGCAUACAAGUCUCUUGGAACAGAGCGUCAUAGUGGUGAGAACCCAGUACACGAUGCGGAUGCCUAUUACUUUGUGAUACACUUUCGAAGAGUCGAGUUGUUUGGGAAUGCAGCUCAAAUUGGGUGGUAAAUUCCAUCUAAAGCUAAAUAUUGGCGAGAGACCGAUAGCGAACAAGUACCGUGAGGGAAAGAUGAAAAGCACUUUGGAAAGAGAGUUAACAGUACGUGAAAUUGUUGGAAGGGAAACACAUGCAGUGAUACUUGCUAUUCGGGGCAACUCGAUUGGCAGGCCCGCAUCAGUUUUUCGGGGCGGAAAAUCGUAGAGAGAAGGUAGCAGUUUCGGCUGUGUUAUAGCUCUUUACUGGAUUCGCCCUGGGGGACUGAGGAACGCAGCGUGCUUUUAGCAUGAGCUUCGGCUUAUCCACGCUUAGGAUGCGGGUUUAUGGCUGUAUAUGACCCGUCUUGAAACACGGACCAAGGAGUCUAACAUGCUUGCGAGUAUUUGGGUGUCAAACCCGGAUGCGCAAUGAAAGUGAAUGGAGGUGGGAAGCGCAAGCUGCACCAUCGACCGAUCUGGAUUUUUUAAGAUGGAUUUGAGUAAGAGCAAGUAUGUUGGGACCCGAAAGAUGGUGAACUAUGCCUGAAUAGGGCGAAGCCAGAGGAAACUCUGGUGGAGGCUCGUAGCGGUUCUGACGUGCAAAUCGAUCGUCAAAUUUGGGUAUAGGGGCGAAAGACUAAUCGAACCAUC